rnacentral:rRNA from 1 species
AUUGAACGCUGGCGGAAUGCUUUACACAUGCAAGUCGAGCGGCAGCGCGGGGGGCAACCCUGGCGGCGAGCGGCGAACGGGUGAGUAAUACAUCGGAACGUGUCCUUAAGUGGGGGAUAGCUCGGCGAAAGCCGGAUUAAUACCGCAUAAGCUCUGAGGAGGAAAGCGGGGGCUCCGUAAGGACCUCGCGCUGUUGGAGCGGCCGAUGUCGGAUUAGCUAGUUGGUAGGGGUAAACGGCCCACCAAGGCGACGAUCCGUAGCUGGUCUGAGAGGAUGAUCAGCCACACUGGAACUGAGACACGGUCCAGACUCCGUACGGGAGGCAGCAGGU